rnacentral:rRNA from 1 species
AGAGACAGCAGCCGCCACGGUAAAACGUAGGGUGCAAGCGUUGUCCGGAAUUAUUGGGCGUAAAGAGCUCGUAGGCGGUUUGUCGCGUCUGCUGUGAAAUCCCGAGGCUCAACCUCGGGCUUGCAGUGGGUACGGGCAGACUAGAGUGCGGUAGGGGAGAUUGGAAUUCCUGGUGUAGCGGUGGAGUGCGCAGAUAUCAGGAGGAACACCGAUGGCGAAGGCAGAUCUCUAGGCCGUAACUGACGCUGAGGAGCGAAAGCAUGGGGAACAAACAGGAUUAGAUACCCCUGUAGUCCCUGUCUCUUAUAC